rnacentral:rRNA from 1 species
CCUACGUGUGGCAGCAGUGAGGAAUAUUGGUCAAUGGGAGGAAUCCUGAACCAGCCAUGCCGCGUGCAGGACGACGGCUCUACGAGUUGUAAACUGCUUUUGUACCGGGGUAAAAUGCUCUACGCGUAGGGUUUUGAAAGUACGGUACGAAUAAGGCUCGGCUAACUCCGUUCCAGCAGCCGCGGUAAUACGGAGGAUCCGAGCGUUAUCCGGAUUCAUUGGGCGUAAAGGGUGGGUAGGCGGCCUGCUAAGUCUGGAGUGAAAGGUACGGGCUCAACCGGUAAAGGCUCUGGAAAUUGGCGGGAUAGAGAGCAGGAGAGGGCGGUGGAACUCCAUGUGUAGCGGUAAAAGGCGUAGAUAUAUGGAAGAACACCAGUGGCGAAGGCGGCCGCCUGGCCUGUUACUGACGCUGAGGCACGAAAGCGUGGGGAGCAAAUAGGAUUAGAUACCCCAGUAGUC